UAGUUUGGUUAGUGCCUACUGUGUAGAUUUUUUUUUUUGUUUUACAUUAAUCUGUACCUUUUUAUGUUCAAAUAUGGCUUAACACUGUGCAAUCACUUCUACAUGUCACUCCUCUUUUUGGGUUCAUCGAGCAUCUAUUACUGUAAAGCUGGCAUGUCAACUUUUCUUCUUUUUUGUUCUUUUGGGGGGUGGUGGUGGUGGUUAUUAUUUCCGUAUCUGUUGAUUUUAGAUUUUUCAUGCGUUUAUGUGUGUAUUGUAGCUAGUGAACGUGCUUAAUUCUGAGGCAUUGCACUCUAUGAGGUAGGAGGGUGAAUCAUUCUUCGGGACUACUCACUUUCUGUCAUCAGAUUGGAACUGAAUUACUAUGUUAUAAAGUUAUUGCAGUUUGCAAGAAGCGCUAUUUGUGAAAGCUACUUUCUGUCAUCAGAUUGGAUCUGAAUUACCAUGUUAAAGUUAUUGCAAUUUGCAAGAAGCGCUAUUUGUGAAAGCAUUAGACAGGGCAUAACUGCAUCUAGGCCUUUUGUUAUAUAAUCGAUUAUUUCCAGCAUAUAAUCUGUUGAUUUUAGAUUUUUCAUGCGUUUAUGUGUGUAUUGUAACUAGUGAACGUGCUUAAUUCUGAGGCAUUGCACUCUAUGAGGUAGGAGGGUGAAUCAUUCUUCGGGACUACUCACUUUCUGUCAUCAGAUUGGAUCUGAAUUACCAUGUUAAAGUUAUUGCAAUUUGCAAGAAGCGCUAUUUGUGAAAGCAUUAGACAGGGCAUAACUGCAUCUAGGCCUUUUGUUAAAUGCAAGGCAUCCUUGCUUUGGCGUAUAUAAUUUUGGUUCCACACGUUUCCGUAUUUCUUGUGGUAUAAAACUGAUUUGCAUUUUCUUGAGUUAAACCUAAGAAGGGGAAGAAUUAUUAUAGGGUCUUGAGGUGUACCUUUGACUUCCUUUUUCUUCAGGAGGAGUAUGCCUGACUGGUAAGAAUCUUAUGGGCCUAAAAUGUAUUUAAAGGAAAUAAAAUUUACCGUGUAAUUUCUCUUCAGAAUCUGGUGGUC
rnacentral:lncRNA from 1 species